AUUGAAAUACCGGUUCCCGUGCGACCAUCGAAGUUAAGCAACGUCAAUACCUAGAUGGGUGACCGCUUGGGAAUACCAAGUGCUGUAAG